rnacentral:rRNA from 1 species
CGGAUUGGUCUGGCCUCGAAGCGGUUCCUGGAAAUAGCCCUCCAUGAGAUCGUACCCUAAACCGACACAGGUGGACUGGUAGAGCAUACCAAGGCGCUUGAGAGAACUGCGUUGAAGGACUCGGCAAAAAUGCCUCCGUAACUUCGGGAGAAGGAGCCCGUCUGCGGGCAACCGUGGGCGGGGGGCACAAACUAGGGGGUGGCGACUGUUUACUAAAAACACAGGUCUCUGCGAAGCCCAAAGGCGACGUAUAGGGACUGACGCCUGCCCGGUGCUGGAAGGUUAAAGGGAGGGGUGCAAGCUCCGAACUGAA